rnacentral:rRNA from 1 species
UACGUAGGUGGCAAGCGUUGUCCGGAUUUACUGGGCGUAAAGAGCGCGCAGGCGGUCGAUCAAGUCGCGUGUGAAAGCCCCCGGCUCAACUGGGGAGGGUCACGCGAUACUGAUCGACUGGAAGGCAGGAGAGGGUAGUGGAAUUCCCGGUGUAGUGGUGAAAUGCGCAGAUAUCAGGAGGAACACCGAUGGCGAAGGCAGGUCUCUGGGCCACUACUGACGCUGGAGAAGCGGAAAGCAUGGGAGCGAACAGG